rnacentral:rRNA from 1 species
ACUCCUACGGGAGGCAGCAGUAGGGAAUCUUCCACAAUGGGCGGCAAGCCUGAUGGAGCAACACCGCGUGAGUGAAGAAGGGUUCGGCUCGUAAAGCUCUGUUGUUAAAGAAGAACACGUAUGAGAGUAACUGUUCAUACGUUGACGGUAUUUAACCAGAAAGUCACGGCUAACUACGUGCCAGCAGCCGCGGUAAUACGUAGGUGGCAAGCGUUAUCCGGAUUUAUUGGGCGUAAAGAGAGUGCAGGCGGUUUUCUAAGUCUGAUGUGAAAGCCUUCGGCUUAACCGGAGAAGUGCAUCGGAAACUGGAUAACUUGAGUGCAGAAGAGGGUAGUGGAACUCCAUGUGUAGCGGUGGAAUGCGUAGAUAUAUGGAAGAACACCAGUGGCGAAGGCGGCUACCUGGUCUGCAACUGACGCUGAGACUCGAAAGCAUGGGGUAGCGAACAGGAUUAGAUACCCUGGUAGGAUAGCG